rnacentral:rRNA from 1 species
UGACAGUACUCCUACGGGGAGGCAGCAGUGGGGGAAUAUUGCACAAUGGGCGCAAGCCUGAUGCAGCCAUGCCGCGUGUGUGAAGAAGGACCUUCGGGUUGUAAAGCACUUUCAGUCGUGAGGAAGGUAGUGUAGUUAAUAGCUGCAUUAUUUGACGUUAGCGACAGAAGAAGCACCGGCUAACUCCGUGCCAGCAGCCGCGGUAAUACGGAGGGUGCGAGCGUUAAUCGGAAUUACUGGGCGUAAAGCGCAUGCAGGUGGUUUGUUAAGUCAGAUGUGAAAGCCCGGGGCGUCAACCUCGGAAUAGCAUUUGAAACUAGGCAGACUAGAGUACUGUAGAGGGGGGUAGGAAUUUCAGGUGUAGCGGUGAAAUAGCGUAGAGAUCUGAAGGAAUACCGGUGGCGAAGGCGGCCCCCUGGACAGAUACUGACACUCAGAUGCGAAAGCGUGGGGAGCAAACAGGAUUAGAUACCCUGGUAG